rnacentral:rRNA from 1 species
ACGAACGCUGGCGGCGUGCUUAACACAUGCACGUCGAGCGGAAAGGCCCUUCGGGGUACUCGAGCGGCGAACGGGUGAGUAACACGUGAGUAACCUGCCCCAGACUUUGGGAUAACCCUCGGAAACGGGGGCUAAUACCGGAUACGACACAGCUUCGCAUGGGGUCUGUGUGGAAAGUUUUUCGGUUUGGGAUGGGCUCGCGGCCUAUCAGCUUGUUGGUGGGGUGAUGGCCUACCAAGGCGACGACGGGUAGCCGGCCUGAGAGGGCGACCGGCCACACUGGGACUGAGACACGGCCCAGACUCCUACGGGAGGCAGCAGUGGGGAAUAUUGCACAAUGGGCGGAAGCCUGAUGCAGCGACGCCGCGUGAGGGAUGACGGCCUUCGGGUUGUAAACCUCUUUCAGCAGGGACGAAGCGUAAGUGACGGUACCUGCAGAAGAAGCGCCGGCCAACUACGUG